CUCAGAAAAAAGCAAACCUAUUGAAAAAUGGGGACGCAAAGUCACGGGUCUAAGGUAUUAUGUCUAUGAUGGCUGGGCUGCCUGG
rnacentral:ncRNA from 1 species